rnacentral:rRNA from 1 species
UACGUAGGGUGCGAGCGUUAAUCGGAAUUACUGGGCGUAAAGCGUGCGCAGGCGGUUUUGUAAGCCAGGUGUGAAAUCCCCGGGCUCAACCUGGGAAUGGCAUUUGGGACUGCAAGGCUGGAGUGCGGCAGAGGAGACUGGAAUUCCUGGUGUAGCAGUGAAAUGCGUAGAUAUCAGGAGGAACACCGAUGGCGAAGGCAGGUCUCUGGGCUGACACUGACGCUCAUGCACGAAAGCGUGGGGAGCAAACAGGG